GAGAGAGAGAACGGAAUCAAGCGAAUGAGAGCGCAUGAGUGUGUGUGGAGAGAGAACGGAAUCAAGUGAAUGAGAGCGCGUGAGUGUGUGUGGAGAGAGAGAACAGAGUCAAGCGAAUGAGAGCGCGUGAGUGUGUGUGUGGAGAGAGAGAACAGAGUCAAGCGAAUGAGAGCGCGUGAGUGUGUAUGUGGAGAGAGAGAACGGAAUCAAGCGAAUGAGAGCGCGUCAGUGUGUGUGUGGAGAGAGAGAACGGAAUCAAGCGAAUGAGAGCGCGUGAGUGUGUGUGUGGAGAGAGAACAGAGUCAAGCGAAUGAGAGCGCGUGAGGG
rnacentral:lncRNA from 1 species